UCCGUGCAAACCUGCUUUCCAAGGGCACAGUAAUGGACACUUCCUGCUAUACCAUUACCUCAGCCAUUCUGCACAUGAAAAAGGAUAAUAGCACUUGGAGUGUCUGUGCAUCUGGACUUGCAGUACUGGUCCGCUUUCACCUUCCUGGGGAAGAGAUGGACCUGGACGCCUCCGGGGUCUACUGAAGCACUUACGGGCAGGCGGUGGUGUGCCACCUUGUAGGGAGCACUAUUUAUGGCUCCUGUCUUAGGUUUUCCAGACUACAGAGGUGGUCUGCACAGACUGCAGAGGACUGGUGGUGACCAUCUACAGCGACUCUCGCUAUGCCUUUCUGGUGUGUCAUGAACACGGGACUUUGUAGAAGCAGAGAGGGUUUUUGACUAGCACUGGAAAACCGAUUUGACGCCAUCAGCUAGUUUAAAAAUUGCUGGAGGCUGUGUGGUGCUCACAGGGGGGAGUGUGGGAGAAGAGUCUAGUAUUUUCCCACAAAGACGUCUGACAACCUAAUAUAGAGCCUCUUCUAUGCCAAGGUGCCGAGCAGUGCACCUAGGGGCAGCCCCCACCCCAAACAUACAGCAGACCAUCUCUCAGGAGUAUUCCUAUUACUUAGCUACACCUGAACAAUCAAAUAGGCUUUAAAAUGUUUUAUACCAGCUUUUUAACAUUCUGGUUUUAUCAAAGAACCCACAUAUUAUCCCUAUUAAGCUAUUUUCCCAAUAACUGAAAUUCUG